AUUGAACGCUGGCGGCAGGCCUAACACAUGCAAGUCGAACGAGUGGCGGACGGGUGAGUAAUGUCUGGGAAACUGCCUGAUGGAGGGGGAUAACUACUGGAAACGGUAGCUAAUACCGCAUACCAUCGGAUGUGCCCAGAGGGGAUUCGCUAGUAGGUGGGGUAACGGCUCACCUAGGCGACGAUCCCUAGCUGUGCUGAGAGGAGGACCAGCCACACUGGAACUUAGACACGGCCCAGACUCCUACGGGAGGCAGCAGUGGGGAAUAUUGCACAAUGGGCGCAAGCCUGAUGCAGCCAUGCCGCGGGUGUGAAGAAGGCCUUCGGGUUGUAAAGCACUUUCAGCGGGGAGGCGUUACCCGCAGAAGAAGCACCGGCUAACUCCGUGCCAGCAGCCGCGGUAAUUC
rnacentral:rRNA from 1 species